rnacentral:lncRNA from 1 species
AGUGGCUGUUUGGGGCGACUGCUGUUGCCUUGGGGGGUGUGGCGCUCUCUGUGGUCACUCCUGCCAGGAACUGACCACCCAGGUGGCCGCCACCCCCUCUGUACACCAUGGACCCUGCCCUGUGCUCCAUAACUCCCCCAGGCUCCCUGUCCACUGCCCUUCCUGGUCCGGCCCCCUUCUCCAAGUUGGAGGCAGCAAGGACUGGGGGUUGUGCAGCCCAGCCAGCAGGAGGGACUGAGGCCCUCUAGGAGGAAUGCGCAGAGUGAGGGGGACCUCAUUCCUUCAGACCCACUUUCCUCCCCACUCCCCUUCUCCUGCUGGGCUAGGUCUCCACUGGGGCCAGCCUCAGUUUCUCCUCAACAGGUUUGGGGACAGCCCCUCCUGCCCUGCUUGCCCCACACUGUCUAGGCUCACUUCCUGCCACAGUGUAAUAAAGCCUCCUACCCUGCAAAAAAAAAAAAAA